CCUAAGCUGGGACUCCUUACUAAAAGUUUUUAGACUAUGUUAGGAGCUCUCUGAGAGUGUUCUCAGAAUGUGCCUGAGGACAGAGUUGUUUUAACUCUGAACUGUUUUUGGACGUCAAAAUGAAGCUGCUCUUGGUUGCUGUUCUCAUCUUCAACAGUUCCACCUUCUGUGUAAAAAUCACCCAGCCUCCAUUUAUAUUUAGCCGUGAAGGAGACUCAGCUGUGACUCUACAGUGUGAACACGAUGACAAUAACCAUUUCUACAUGUACUGGUACAUACAGAGCAGCGGUGCUAACAUGCAGCUGGUAACAUAUUCAACUGGUAAAGAUACUGCAAGAACUGAAGCUCCUUUCAACGAGUCAAGGUACACCAUGUUCCGGCCUGAAGUGCUUCAGUCGUCUCUGCAGAUCAAGUCUGCGGAGGCUGGAGACUCAGCUGUGUAUUACUGCGCCUCCAGUAGAGCACAGUGAUUCAGAAAGCCUCAUCAGCUUAACAACAACAUCAGGAC